rnacentral:piRNA from 1 species
UCAGAUUGGGUUUCUAAUUGG